UUAAUCCAAGCGUGGAAUAGAGAAAUUAACAACAUGGUACUUCUCAAGUUUGAUGAUGUUCUGUAGUGUGCCAUUUUUCAUGCUUUGUAAUUAGUUUCUAACUGAACACAUACUGGAAAUAUUGAAGGCUGCAUCUGGGUACUCUGCUUUCUGCUUGCAUCUACCUCAUGAUCACUAGUAAUGAAUUGACUACCUUGAAGUGCAUCUAAGGCUUAAAGGAGGAUGCUGAGCAAAGAAGAGGAAACUUCAAUGUGGCCAUUCUUUCAGAAGGGAAUGAAGUGGUUUAAACUCAACCUCAUUUGUUGAAAGAAUAUCUUAUUUUAACCAUCUUCUCUAGUGGUGCAACUUGCAGUUUUCAGGAGUGUGCACUGUGAUUAAACAUGUACUCCCACAGCUAGAGCCAACAUACAGUUUCUGGGAGCAAAAACUCUUGCUGUGGUAGUGUUUGUGAACAAUUCUAACAAAAGGAUUUAUCUUCUCCAUGUUUUCUGUGGUUUUGAGGAUUACUGGGAUGUAAAAAACCUGAAGAAAUGACUGUCUGCACAAGUCCAUGUAGAUAGGAAUAGAUUAUUCUUUUUAACCUCAUAAAACUGAGUUAAAAGCAUACAGGAGAUUUAAUUUCCUUAUUCCCCAUUUGUUUCCUCCAAAAUGGAAAAAUGACCCAAGGGAAAUCAAGAACAUAACUUCUCUAAGUGAGUUUAGAGUUGCAUACAGAUGAAGUGGAGGAUUUGAUCUUCUGAAUUUCCUAGUGCUGUCUAAAGUUUUGUAUAGGUGGUGGUGCAGCCUUUCUGUGCUUCUUUGCUGUAGACUGAGGACUAACUUUCAUCCCCUUCCUUUGUACCACCUGAAUGUCUUUUGAGGAAGCAAGUAUUUUUUCAGCUGUUUUUCUUGUAGUUCAAGGUAUGUAACAGGAGUUUGUUUUAGUCUUCAUUUAACAGCUUCCUUGCAUGAUGAUUGCAACUGUUGGACUGACAGUCCCUCCUAUGACUUGUUUUUUGUGCCCUGAGGUCCUUGGCUGUCAAAGUUAUUAUUGAGCAUUUUCACUCUCCUUUCUGCAGGUGAAUAUGUAGUUCUCCUGGCACCGUUUGUUGGCUGAAAGAGACGGAAAUCUGAGAGAGGCUAGGAGACAGUAGCAACAGAUGAGGCCAUCCACUAGACAAAUGUGUGGAGACACAGAAUCAUAGAAUGCUAUUGCAAACUCCUAUGAGACUGCAGACAAGCCUGGGUGUGGAGUUGGUCAAGAAGGAUCCAGAAGCUCUGGAAGAACAGGGCCAGUGAGAAAACUGCAGUAGUUCAGUAUGCAGGAGAAGGCUAAAGCAUAAAACACAGAAAAUUAAAACUAUCAUAGAAAGAUAGGGAAAAAGUAGUCAAAUGAAUAAAGCCUACUUUUAAUAAUUAUCACUGAAGUGUUUGACCUCCCAUAGGUGCUCUUGUCACAGCUAAAGCACUCCUGACUUACUGUUGAUACUUGCCUGUGUUUUUGGUGUUUCAGUGAUAGAUUCAGUGUUACUAAAACAGGUGCCACUUAGACACUGGCAAACGAGCUCUCUUCUUGCUGUUCCACCAAAGGAUUAUGACUCAGUGCUGAAGUGAUGGUUCAUUUAGCAGAGCAGUUAACCUAAAAGUAUAGAAAUUGUCAGGGUUUCCACUGCUGACUGUUUCCUUUGGGUGUUUUUUUGUGUUGUGGACAUGGCAAGGAAACUUUUGACUUGUAGACAUUGCUCUGCUGGGAACCGACUUGUAGUGAGAAGUUUGUGAGUCUUGUAAUGCAGGUAGCUGCUUGGUAGUGGAAGCUGAGCUAUAUUUGAACCCGUGCAGGAUGACUGACUCUCUUUUAAUCUGCCAGCUCAUUCUUCACGCCUGUUUUCUGUUUGGAUUUUGUAGUUUUGAGAUGUUUUUGGAGAGGGUACUGGGAAAACUUGCAAACAUUUUUCAAACAAAAGAUUUGUCUCCAUGGCUGAGAGAGUUCAUUUGGACACUUGUUCUGAGUGGUUUUUUUUUUGUUUGGAAAAUGAAGUUCUUAGAAGAAGUUAGAUGGCCUUGGCUUUCUUUGUUCUUUCUUCUGCCUCAGACAUCUGUAUCAGCUCUCACCGAGCUCUUUAUCUUACUUGGCUUUUCUGUGGAUGCCUGGAGGCCUUGGCUCACAUUCUCAAGAGUGUCCACUGGUUCAAGAAGCCAUCGCUGCUAUCAAAUUACCUUGACAGCUGUUGUCCCAUUUCAUAUUUGCCAUCCCCUCCCUCGACUUCCUUGUGAUUUUUGGCAGAAGCUGUGACUAUUGAGCAAUAAAACUUGGAUCUGAGAAUCCUGUUGCUGGUGGGAAAAUGAGAUGAGAGCAUGCUAGUUAAUGCCUUGCAACUUGACUUCUUGCUGCUGUAUAAUCAGUAGCAUCUUUAUUUGGAAACAAAACCUACCACUAGCUACUCUGUGGACUGAGGGAAUAGUUCAUUUACUGCUCAUCUGGAGUUGUGUGUUGGGUGCCAGUCUUAGAACAGCACACUCUAUACCAAGAUAUGAGCUGUGACCAGACAAGCUCUGGAUUUGGAGUCCUUGACAAAUGCUUAUGCAUAAGGACUGCAGAGCAGCAAGGAUGCUUGUGUGGAAGGUAAUCUGUAAGGGCAUGACUGACUUUGUUAGUUUUAUCAAUCAUCUUCCCUCUGUAUAACCUGGAAUAGAGCUCCUGUAGUACUGUGUAGUAGACAUUAAAGAUAAACCUAUUGGAA